AAUUGCUUAAAUUAGGGCUUUUCUUUUGCAUCAUUCAUCUGAGCAGAUAUAUAUCUCUGCUCAAAUGAAUGAUGCAAAAGAAAAGCCCUAAUUUAAGCAAUUAG
rnacentral:miRNA from 1 species